rnacentral:rRNA from 1 species
CGGUGCUGAAGCAACAAAUGCCCUGCUUCCAGGAAAAGCCUCUAAGCAUCAGGUAACAUCAAAUCGUACCCCAAACCGACACAGGUGGUCAGGUAGAGAAUACCAAGGCGCUUGAGAGAACUCGGGUGAAGGAACUAGGCAAAAUGGUGCCGUAACUUCGGGAGAAGGCACGCUGAUAUGUAGGUGAAGUCCCUCGCGGAUGGAGCUGAAAUCAGUCGAAGAUACCAGCUGGCUGCAACUGUUUAUUAAAAACACAGCACUGUGCAAACACGAAAGUGGACGUAUACGGUGUGACGCCUGCCCGGUGCCGGAAGGUUAAUUGAUGGGGUUAGCGCAAGCGAAGCUCUUGAUCGAAGCCCCGGUAAACGGCGGCCGUAACUAUAACGGUCCUAAGGUAGCGAAAUUCCUUGUCGGGUAAGUUCCGACCUGCACGAAUGGCGUAAUGAUGGCCAGGCUGUCUCCACCCGAGACUCAGUGAAAUUGAACUCGCUGUGAAGAUGCAGUGUACCCGCGGCAAGACGGAAAGACCCCGUGAACCUUUACUAUAGCUUGACACUGAACAUUGAGCCUUGAUGUGUAGGAUAGGUGGGAGGCUUUGAAGUGUGGACGCCAGUCUGCAUGGAGCCGACCUUGAAAUACCACCCUUUAAUGUUUGAUGUUCUAACGUUGACCCGUAAUCCGGGUUGCGGACAGUGUCUGGUGGGUAGUUUGACUGGGGCGGUCUCCUCCUAAAGAGUAACGGAGGAGCACGAAGGUUGGCUAAUCCUGGUCGGACAUCAGGAGGUUAGUGCAAUGGCAUAAGCCAGCUUGACUGCGAGCGUGACGGCGCGAGCAGGUGCGAAAGCAGGUCAUAGUGAUCCGGUGGUUCUGAAUGGAAGGGCCAUCGCUCAACGGAUAAAAGGUACUCCGGGGAUAACAGGCUGAUACCGCCCAAGAGUUCAUAUCGACGGCGGUGUUUGGCACCUCGAUGUCGGCUCAUCACAUCCUGGGGCUGAAGUAGGUCCCAAGGGUAUGGCUGUUCGCCAUUUAAAGUGGUACGCGAGCUGGGUUUAGAACGUCGUGAGACAGUUCGGUCCCUAUCUGCCGUGGGCGCUGGAGAACUGAGGGGGGCUGCUCCUAGUACGAGAGGACCGGAGUGGACGCAUCACUGGUGUUCGGGUUGUCAUGCCAAUGGCACUGCCCGGUAGCUAAAUGCGGAAGAGAUAAGUGCUGAAAGCAUCUAAGCACGAAACUUGCC